rnacentral:rRNA from 1 species
UCAACCAGGGAACUGCAUCCAAAACUGGCAAGCUAGAGUACGGUAGAGGGUGGGGGAAUUUCCUGUGUAGCGGUGAAAUGCGUAGAUAUAGGAAGGAACACCAGUGGCGAAGGCGACCACCUGGACUGAUACUGACACUGAGGUGCGAAAGCGUGGGGAGCA